CGGCGCGGCGGGAGUGAAAGAGACAGAAAUAAGUACAUCGCAUUACAUCGUGCUGUUGUCCCACUCCAACUGACUGAUGUUUCUGUACUUGUGCUGUUUGCCUGGCAACACUGAAAAUAAUAAAAAAUGGAAUUAGCGACGGCGUCCAUCUUGUCAGCGACGCCGCUGGGGUGCAGCUCGCGGGCCAGCUCCCCUCCGGACAUGUGGGGGUGCACCACCGUCAGCUGCAACGGUACAAAGGAUGUGAAGCAUCAGACCCACCUCCUGAUAAUUCUGCACAGUAUCGGCGCCAGUGAGUAUGACGCCGUCCCGCGUGACCGCCGCGCGGAUGUCGUACCGCAGCGGCAGGUCGGCCGCGUCGCGCAGGGAGAGCGCUUCAUGGUCUGGGUUCAGUGCAGGGUAGACAGACACCACGCACGAGUCUAACUUCUGGGAUUCUGCUUCUGGAGGGAGAAGAAGAUAUUUAUUGUGGGCAGGAGACCAGCAAGAUCCCAACUCACCGCGCAUGUAGUCUCCGCCUCUGGCCAUGACGUGGACACUCAGCUCGGGGAACACCCGCAGCCCCGCCCUGAAGUGGGCGUAGUCCCGCGCCGCGUCCCCGGACCCGUUGAUCAGGAUGGUCGGCGUCUGCGGCUGCAGCACCAUGACGUAGGACUCCGCUGGCAUGGCCUUGAUGAUGCGCCCGUUGUCGCAGCUGCGGAAGUAGCGGUCCACUUCCUUAGGAACAGGGUAUGAAGUAAAAUAAAAUUAUUAAGAAAGAGAUAGCGACAAAAUAAA